AUGAACGCUGGCGGCGUGCCUAAUACAUGCAAGUCGAGCGAACAGACGAGGAGCUUGCUCCUCUGACGUUAGCGGCGGACGGGUGAGUAACACGUGGAUAACCUACCUAUAAGACUGGGAUAACUUCGGGAAACCGGAGCUAAUACCGGAUAAUAUAUUGAACCGCAUGGUUCAAUAGUGAAAGACGGUUUUGCUGUCACUUAUAGAUGGAUCCGCGCCGCAUUAGCUAGUUGGUAAGGUAAUGGCUUACCAAGGCGACGAUGCGUAGCCGACCUGAGAGGGUGAUCGGCCACACUGGAACUGAGACACGGUCCAGACUCCUACGGGAGGCAGCAGUAGGGAAUCUUCCGCAAUGGGCGAAAGCUUGACGGAGCAACGCCGCGUGAGUGAUGAAGGUCUUCGGAUCGUAAAACUCUGUUAUUAGGGAAGAACAAAUGUGUAAGUAACUAUGCACGUCUUGACGGUACCUAAUCAGAAAGCCACGGCUAACUACGUG
rnacentral:rRNA from 1 species